rnacentral:tRNA from 1 species
UCGAUGCGUAGGCUGACGGUCGCUAUGCCCAUGGCCCUGAGCCGGCUGGCGGCGGUCGAGUUGACAGCCGAGUGGUACAGCACCACUAAAUCGGGCC